GAGCAGCAGGCCAGGCGGCGGCCAGAUCCGCGCCGUCCUCCAGGGCUCCGAGCUACGCCGCGACGGACGUGCUCGAGGUCCCCAAUCCUGCCGCUCCGGAAAAAGGAGGAGGUGGCGGCCACCGCUUCCUUUCCCGCGCGACGAGGCGGCUCUCCCCAACCCCUGCGGCGUCUUCCCCACCCCCUCCUUGAUUUUAGAAAUCUCCCCUGCAUCAUCAUCUCGCCCAGCACCGGCUGGCUCACCAAGCUGCAGAGACUGCCGCACGCCUCCCCAAGCUUCCUCCCCUACUGCUGGAGCUGACCCGACCGGACCGGAGCGGAGACCUUUUCUUCCUCCCUCCUCGAUCACUGCAUGAGACCAACCUACAUGUCCAGAUCUACAAGAACAGCCUAUUUCAGAGCAGAGAUCAAUUACUGCUUCGAGCUCAGACCAAUAGCCAACUACCUGCAAGGAGGCCUCCUGACCCACCCCGCUGGUGGCGGCUUCUUCGUCGAUUGUAUAUCUCCUUAGCUCGGCUGCAUCAUCUCGCACAGCAUCGCCAGGAUCACCAAGUUGCAGAGGCUGUAACAUUUCCUCUUUUCUGAGCUCAUGCACAAGUGGCCGCCGUGUGGCAUGCGCGGGUGAAAACAUCUCUGCUCGACGCCUUCAUCCGGCAUAGGAUAGCUUAGGUAAAUAAAAAACCUGGAAGUCAUGGUUGUUACAUGCUGGGGGACCUUGAUAUGCCCAAGGGCCAUGUGGAUUCGGUUGUCAAGCGCAAGGGGCUCGACAGUGAGACCAUCCAGCAUUCUGUACACGGUGUGAUGAUUCGGGCUCCCAUGCCUGCCUCGUUGGCUACAACAACUUAGGACAUCUUAGAUAAAGAUAAAAACUGGAAGUCAUGGUUAUUACAUACUAGGGGAUCUUGAUAUGCCCAAAGGACACGUUGAUUUGAUAGCUGAGACCAUCCAGCAGUCUGUACGCGGGGUUGAUGAUUUGGGCUCCCAUGACUGUCUGCUUGGCUACAAUAACUUGCCACUGGUUUCGCUAAAGCGAGCCACUGAAUUGGGCCAGUGGACAUGGUGUGAUGAUCUGGUCUCCGAUGAGUGUCUCCUUGGCUAUAUCUACUUAGCCACCAGUUGUGCCAUAGCGAGCCAUUGAAUUGGGCCAGUGGACAGAGGGGCGUAGCGUAUUGACGUGUCCGGUGUCAGCGUGGACCAGCUGGGACGUGAAAAACAUGGACCUCGACCAUCUGGCGGUAUGUACAUGGUGUGAUGAUCUGGGCUCCCAUGACUGCCUCCUUGGCUGCAAAUACUUAGGAGAGCUUAGGUAAAGAAAAAAAACCCUGAAAGUCUUGGUUAUUACAUGCUAGGGGACCUUGAUAUGCCCAAGGGCCAUGUGAAUUUGGUAUCUAAGACCAUCCAGCAGUCCGUACACAGGAAGUGGUUGCGGCAGAGCGAGCCACUGAAUUGGGCUAGUGGACAGAGAGACGUGUCGACAUCUCCAGGGUCAGCUGAGACGUGAGCAGCAUGGGCAUUGAGCCAUCCAGCAGUCCGGACAUGGUGUGAUGAUCUGGGUUCCCAUGACUGUCUCCUUCGCUACAACUACUUAGCCACAUGAUGUGCCAUAGUGAGCCACUGAAUUGGGCCAGUGGACAGAGAGACGUAUCGACCUGGGACGUGAACAGCAUGGACCUUGAGACCAUCCAGCUGUAUGAACAUGGUGUGAUGAUCUAGGCUCCCAUGACUGCCUCCUUGGCUAUAACUACUUAGGGUUCUUGUACGGGUGGAACACACGACUUGUCAAUGGGCAUCUAGCAGCAGUUCUCUCCCUAUGUGAUGUCAGUGAGUUCACCGCGCCGCAUAUGCCUCUCCUUAGACUGUGGUUCAGGGUAGGGUUUGGCUUGUGGGAAGGUCAUCUACCAUUUUGUCAAACUGUGCAAUGUGAUGCUGUUCUGGCGAGUGCUUGAUGGGUGCUAGCUGUUAGCUCGUUUUGUAUCCAAGUGCUAUCUCUUUGAAACCCAAGAUUUGUGCUGCGCGCGCAGUGAAGAUAGUAGUAGAAAAUCAUGGGGUUUACUAGAUUUACAAGAUGGUGAGGAUGGUGAGAAGAAAUCUGUGCUGGACAUGGUGCACCCACAGUCAUCGUUUAAGGUUUUUUUUAUCCUCCGGAGGGCAAAGUGGGGCGAGAAGACAGAUAGAUGGAGCUUCGCGGUCUAUUGGAAGUCUGGUAGUUUGCAUUGCAUUUCGGUUAUCUGUGCAGGGUUGCUGCUGCAUGUGAAUGUGAUGUUGUUCCGCAUGGGUACUUGUUUUGCUAGGUGCUCAUUUUGUAUUGAACCGUUGUCUCUCUGAAAAGCAAUGUCUCUCCUUCUCUAUAGGAGACGAGAGGUGCAUUUCAGGGUUCGCAAAAUCAUGAUUUGUUGUCGAUGAUCUGUUGGAACGAGUUUCAAACAGUGUGAUGUUUGUUUUCUGAAUCCAAACCAGAAUAUAGUUGUAUGUUGUAAUUUUUGAACA